GCCUAUAAUUAAUAUAAGAUCCAUUAAUUAGCCAAUCAAUUAAUACUUCAUCUCGAGCCGCAAAUAAGUAACUUAGAUUUGAAUCUAUCUAUACAAAUUCAAAUCACUUGUUUCGGGAGUAAUUAGUUUGAGUGAACUGAUCAUCACACUGAAUCGGUCAAUCAAACAGCGACACGUGCCCACUGCUCAGAGUCAAACUAGCACGUGCGUGUAUACGAGGAGCAAUGCAUGAAUGGCAAACUGCAUGCAUGUGUAAAACUGAAGAAAAAUAUUGGGCACACGUCAAAGUCAAAAGGAUCAAUCGGGUCGAUGUAUCGAUCGGUGCAAUAUUGUCUACAUGAUGAGUGCACGUAAUGCUUCUGAGUGAUAUUCAUUGCAUCUUUCCGUUUUGCAGUGUACUCCUGCAUUUGGCACGUGUUAAUUGUUUGCGUGCUUGCAAACACAAAAUUAAGGACUUGAAGUGCACUAGUGAAGGGUGGAGUGAGUCCCAGCCCUUGCAGAUCAAAUAUUGCAUCAAACAUGUUCUUUAUUAAUUAAUUUGCAAGAUCCCAGGAAUUAUAUAGAAAAGAGUGAAUUUCACUUAUUUUUACACCA